GAUUGCAGGCUGCAACUCGCCUGCAUGAAGCCGGAAUCGCUAGUAAUCGCGGAUCAGCUCGCCGCGGUGAAUACGUUCCCGGGCCUUGUACACACCGCCCGUCACACCACGAGAGUUUGUAACACCCGAAGUCGGUGAGGUAACCUUUUUGGAGCCAGCCGCCUAAGGUGGGAUAGAUGAUUGGGGUGAAGUCGUAUCAUGGUAACCG
rnacentral:rRNA from 1 species